rnacentral:lncRNA from 1 species
AUUUUUUUAAUCAUUUUUUCAUUUUUUUUUUAUUUUUCAGUGUGCCUCCUCUGCACAUUCAGGCCAACUGAUUUUACCGGACACCCUCAAAUUACUGCCCUUGUUUAUAUUAUCGCUAUUAAAACAUAACAUUGUUAAAAAGGAUAUCUUGCACGAUAUAAAAGUGUACAGCUUAAUAAAACUGUUGUCUAUGCCAAUCAUGCCAUCGCUUAUUUAUGUGUAUCCAAUACUUUACUUAAUACAUACAAAAGGCAAAAAAAAUGAAAUUGAUCAAAUGGAUAUUCAAGAUGAAUAUUUUAUACCUAAAACUGUACCAACAAGCGCAGAAAAAAUAUAUUCUAAUGCUAUAUAUUUACUUGAUGCCAGUACGCACUUUUAUUUGUAUUUUGGUUAUCAUUCGGACGUAGAUUUUACCAUAAACAUUGUUGGGGACACACCGACGGAGAGAAAUUGUCAUGAACUAAAUUUGACGGACUCAACCAAUGCUCAAAAAAUUCAGCGCAUUAUUAUGAACAUAACAAGAAUCCACCAUUUUAACAAAUUUGUGCCUUUGGUUAUAGUUCCCGCAAAGUAAGUAUUAUAUAUGAAUGCGAAAUGUGUCAUUAAAUUUUAUGUACCCGAACAAAUGCUUGCAUCUGUGUUUGAUGCAUAUUUUAUACGAUACCUAAGCUUUAAUGUAUAUACAUUGUUAAAACAAAAACAGUUGAAUUUUUCUUUUUUUUUUCUUUUUUUUUUCUUUUUUUUUUUUUAUGUUCUUACUUUUUGCUAUUUUUUUUUUUUUUUACUCGUUUACUUUUUUUCAGAUCGGCAAAUGAGCAACUUCUCAUGACAUUGUGUGUUGAAGAUAAGGCUGAUAAGGAAUAUAGUUAUGUUAACUUUUUAUGUUUUAUUCAUAAAUUAGUGCAUAAAAAAAUUGAUGAAUCGUAGAUGUGUUUUGUUACAAUUAAAACAUACGCUUUUCGCAAUACAUCCCUAUAUAUAUAUAUAUAUAUAUAUGCAUAA